rnacentral:lncRNA from 1 species
AAAGUCAUACUUCAAUCCUCCAGAAUAGAUUACUUCUGAUUUGAAAGGAUACAUUUCUUAGGGAAAUCAGUGCAUUGGUUACAUGAAAACCGUGUGACAACCUUGGAAGUCUGAAAGAGCAGGAGAGAGGCUAAGCACACACAUAUUGUGAUUUUAAGAGUCUCAAGGUGAGAAGAAACAUCAGAAGCAGUUGAGAGACCAGGACGUGGGUCCUCAAAGGAUGAACAGAAGUUCUUUUGGAUAACAUUUUAAAAUGUUUCCUCCAGAGUUAUCUGCCUCAUUAACAAUGGUUUGAGUCUCAAGAGUCUCUCUUCGAUUUUACAAACAUGAUUUGUUGCUCUGCUAUAAAUGCAUGCUGCUCUAGUCCUUCAAUAAACCCACAACAUGUUUUCACCA